rnacentral:lncRNA from 1 species
AUUGAUUUUUCUUUUAAAAUAUCAUUAUGUUAUCUAAUGAAACAACAUAAAUUGUAUUAUCAUUAACCAGAUUUGUGAAAUCAUUUGUAAGUUUUUGAGAGCCCAGUAAAUUCAACUUAAAUUACGUGAAGCGGAUCUGAAAGUAGUUUUCUUUUAUUAUUAAAAAAUAAAAAUAAAAAUAAACAGUGACAGAUGUGAGUGAAUCCAUAUUUAUUUCAGAAUUAUAUGUAUAAACUACAUAAAUUCAAAUUUCCAUGCUGUAUGUAGUGUACAUUGCAUGCGUUCCACUAUCAAAAUGAUUCAGAAACUGAUGAAUCCACGAUUUAAUCGCAUGUUGAAAUAUAAUCAUUUAGAUCUACAAUACAAGCAUUAUGAAUUCAAUAGUAUUCUAAUUCAUUCAUCUGUUAGAUAUUAAAACAUUUAAAAAUUCAUAUUUUACAAAAGUGGCAUAACCCAAAAAGUCCUCCCAUUUCAAUUGACUGAAUAUUGACAGAGAAGCGUGUCGUUAACGAGCUCACACCGAAAAGUUCACCGCAAUUAUCCAUGAAUUUGUUAGAUAAAAAAGAUCUCAACCUAAUCUCACACCAGACACGUAACUAUUGAUUGGUCUCUUGGUAGAUGAGCGGUGAGUUUGUACGUAUCUUGCUCGACUUUCACUUAAGAUGACUGUAAAACUCCUAUCAAUUCUUCGAAAUCCCUCGAUCCUGAUGCUGAAAAGCAGAUAUUCUUACCAAAAUCACUCACAAACGAGUUUCGCAGGAUCCAGCUUUGUGAUUCACCUUAUUACAGUCGCCCAGAAAUAGUCCUAGGCAACAAGGUUUUCAUUAUACUCCAACACCUGAUCAACCACAACCAAUAUGACGGGGUUAAACAGAAUGCAUUGAAGACUUGGCAGCGCUGAAGGAGGAGCAACAAAUCACAGUUAGAAGCUUUGUGGAACUUGUGAUUUCUCUGAUUGAUCGGAAGCAGAAGCUUGCCAAAAAAGAAAAAAGAAAAAAGAAAAAACUCGGGCCCCUAUCAAUGAAUGAUAACUUCGCCAUGGCUUUAUACGAUUUCUCGUUAAUAAUAGAUGAGAUUAGGGUUUAGGGUUGCAAUUGGGUUUGCCUUUGAGGUGUAGGAGAGCCCUCACAUCAAUCCUUUUGUGUUGCAGCGACUUCGCACCAUCCCUUGCAUGUGCAGCCCGUAGC